GUGGCUAUGGUGUAGCGGUAGCACAUGAGCUUGUGGAGCUCCUUGUCUGGGUUCAACUCCCAGUAGCCACC
rnacentral:tRNA from 2 species